CCCUGGGUAGUGCAAAUGGUUAGCACACUCAGCUGCUGAUUGAAAGACUGGGGGUUCGAGUCCACCCAGAGGUG
rnacentral:tRNA from 1 species